rnacentral:rRNA from 1 species
CCUACGGGAGGCAGCAGUGAGGAAUAUUGGUCAAUGGACGAGAGUCUGAACCAGCCAAGUAGCGUGAAGGAUGACUGCCCUAUGGGUUGUAAACUUCUUUUAUAUGGGAAUAAAACGUUCCACGUGUGGGAUUUUGUAUGUACCAUAUGAAUAAGGAUCGGCUACCUCCGUGCCAGCAGCCGCGGUAAUACGGAGGAUCCGAGCGUUAUCCGGAUUUAUUGGGUUUAAAGGGAGCGUAGGUGGAUUGUUAAGUCAGUUGUGAAAGUUUGCGGCUCAACCGUAAAAUUGCAGUUGAAACUGGCAGUCUUGAGUACAGUAGAGGUGGGCGGAAUUCGUGGUGUAGCGGUGAAAUGCUUAGAUAUCACGAAGAACUCCGAUUGCGAAGGCAGUUCACUGGACUGCAACUGACACUGAGGCUCGAAAGUGUGGGUAUCAAACAGGAUUAGAUACCCUUGUAGUC